rnacentral:rRNA from 1 species
CAUAUCAAUAAGCGCAGGAAAAGAAACCAACAGGGAUUGCCCUAGUAACGGCGAGUGAAGCGGCAACAGCUCAAAUUUGAAAUCUGGCCCUAGCGGUCCGAGUUGUAAUUUGUAGAGGAUGCUUUUGGUUAGGUGCCUUCUGAGUUCCCUGGAACGGGACGCCAGAGAGGGUGAGAGCCCCGUACGGUUGGACACCGAGCCUCUAUAUAGCUCCUUCGACGAGUCGAGUAGUUUGGGAAUGCUGCUCUAAAUGGGAGGUAAAUUUCUUCUAAAGCUAAAUACCGGCCAGAGACCGAUAGCGCACAAGUAGAGUGAUCGAAAGAUGAAAAGUACUUUGAAAAGAGGGUUAAAUAGCACGUGAAAUUGUUGAAAGGGAAGCGUUUGCGACCAGACUUUUUCCAGGCGGAUCAUCCGGUGUUCUCACCGGUGCACUUCGCCUGGUUUAGGCCAGCAUCGGUUCUCUUAGGGGGAUAAAGGCCUGGGGAACGUAGCUCCUUCGGGAGUGUUAUAGCCCCUUGCGUAAUACCCUUCGGGGGACCGAGGAACGCGCAUCUGCAAGGAUGCUGGCGUAAUGGUCGUCAACGACCCGUCUUGAAACACGGACCAAGGAGUCGAACAUUUGUGCGAGUGUUUGGGUGUUAAACCCUCACGCGUAAUGAAAGUGAACGGAGGUGAGAGCCCUUCGGGGUGCAUCAUCGACCGAUCCUGAUGUCUUCGGAUGGAUUUGAGUAAGAGCAUAACUGUUCGGACCCGAAAGAUGGUGAACUAUGCGUGGAUAGGGUGAAGCCAGAGGAAACUCUGGUGGAGGCUCGCAGCGGUUCUGACGUGCAAAUCGAUCGUCAAAUCUGCGCAUGGGGGCGAAAGACUUAUCGAACCAUCUAGUAGCUGGUUACCGC